CUCAGAACAAGAGGCAAUCUUUGCAAGAAACAGGAACACUUGAGAAUGACUUCUAGAUUUCUGACUUCCCUUCCUCGUGUUGUCAAUCCAUGAAGUUAGAGUGACUUACAGAAGAUCCCACAUUUGCGUGUAGCAAAGCAAGGUCCAGAAACCAUGCCCUCAGCGGCUCUUAAAUAAACAACUGCAUCCUGCCUAAAAGAAAUGUGAG
rnacentral:lncRNA from 1 species